GAAAAGGAGCUAGUGGGAAUAGCUAAGAGGUGCGAAGCGUUUUAUUAAACCAUUUCUUUCUGGCCACUUUUCAUAGCUAUAAGUUCAAUCAUUCACUUCCUGGGAUAACGUGAAUUGCUUCCUUCCCGAGCCAGGUCGAGUCAGAAAGGCUUCGAUGACUCAAGGUUCAUAUUAGGAACAGGAGAGUGAGGGGAAGAGGGGGCAGUCCUCGGCCCGAUCAUCCAAUUCGCUCUAACAGACAGGCAUGGUUCUGUACUCAAAGUAACUUCGUCACUUUCGUGUACCCAUCAGACGACAGCCCUUUCGGGGGUUCCUUAGGGACCGAUUCACUCUGCGUAGAUUGACUGAAUGCAGAAAGCCUUCCACUGGCAGGCGAUCGUGUUUUUAAA
rnacentral:lncRNA from 1 species